GACUGUAUAUGUAAUUUUUGUAUAUGCACUUAAAAAACCAUAUUACGGGAAGCAAGUGAAAUGUUACACGAACCAAAUUUUAUGUUUGAAUCGAUUUAUUAGUUACAAUAAAAUUUGAUUGUUACGGUAACAAACUUGCCCAUCUCAUCGUAUCUUAAAUAAUUGUGUUUGUUGCGUGAACAAAAUCGUUCACUUGAAAAUCAUAGGUUGAAAAUAAGCGCGCAAUAUCGACAAUGACGCGGCGACCGCGGCGACGAAAGCAAAGGGCGCUCUGCCGAUCGUCUUCCGUUUGCCAGUCCGCGCUAGAGUCGCGACAAUGCGAAAGAGAGAGAGAGCGCUACACCAUCACAGCGUCAUUCGUUAUUCGAUCACGGUUCGCGGUGCUGAUACCACAGUUUCGGAAAGUCAAUUCGGAAUUCGUUGCGCAGUUUAGUGGACCCGGUUGCUAGGCGAUUCAUUGCAAGAAAAACGAACGAGAUACUUUAUAGUUGUAGAGAAAGAUUUUCUCAAGGCUUUUCUUGUGGCCGCAAAUGCGCGUGCUCGUGAUAACGUGCGAGAGGUGCGUGCUGGCAAUUAGCAAGCGAAGAAAAGGAAAUCGACUCGACAUCCGGAAAUCCCUCAGGAUACAUCGGCGUCUGCGCACGUUGGGCAAAAGACGGAUCUCUUCUGAUCUCAGCGAAGCAUCGAGACUCGUCCGCCAGCCAUUUCCGACAGCGGAGACAAGGACCUCUGUUUUCAAUAGUGUACUCUUACGGUUAUUGUAAAAUAUGCUAUGGCGGAUCAUGUUGUACGAGACGCAUUAGUUGCAUUGCGGUGCGAGAGCUUAAUUCCGCUCUUUGAAGAUUCCCGGAGAAAUUGAGAAUCUUAUUGAAGAACGGAGAAAUUUUUGUACACAUAAAGGAAUUAAACUUCAGCCAUUUGUACUUCUGGUUUCUGAUGAGAAUGACAUUACUUCAUAUGUCAUUAUGGAUGAUUUAAAGUACGAAAUUGCAACCGUGCGUAACGAAGUGGAUAUAUGCUUCAAGAGUUUUCAGGUUUUUAAUGCAAAGUAUCCAGUAGAAUGCGAAAAAAUAUGGUAUUUCUUACAAUGCGCCGUAUAUAGAUUUGAAACUGAGUUUGAUUGUAAAAAUCCAUCAGUUUUGACUAUUUUAAAUUCUAUAAAGACCAUCACACACAACAAAGACUAACAUCAUUAUGUUUUUUUCUUAAUUAAAAUUGAGAUUUAAAUCUCUGAUUAAGUUAUUACAUAAAUAGUUUUCUGACUGACAUUUUUUAUAAAAUAUUU